AUAACAUUUAUUCAUUGUUGUAAAAUAAAUUGAGUAUUUUAGAUGUAAUAUUGCACAUUUACCAUAUUAUGAAACAGAAGAAUAACCUCUAUAAUUCAUAUAAAAAUGCAGAAUGAGCGCAAACCAGCCUGAGGGUAAAUGCGUCGCCCUAAAGCGAGUCUGUAAACAGCAGCUACUCAACAAUGACUUAUCUCGUUCCCCAUCUUCCCCUCAGAUCUGCUGCAGGGAAAAUGGAUGAGGGUGUGGGGGUGGGACUGCGUGUACAUGUAUGUACGUGUGUCAAGGCAUGUUGUCAGCACUUAAAAUCUCGUCAGAGAGGCUGUAGAGGGUUGACUCUAAUGAUGACAAUGCCAGGCGGCAAGGCGGCAGAUGUAAUUGGCAUGUCUGAGGACACAUAGUUACACACACACACACACACACACACAAACACACACACACACACACACACACACACACACAUUUGCUUAGCCUAAACAGCCUACAAUGCCAGUCCCAUAAUAUAAACCCACCCUAGAUGCAUGUCUACAAAUACCCUCCACGGUGGUCAACAGCUCAGAAGAGUUGCAGCCAUCAUCAGCUUUGAGGUCAGAACUCCACAGAGGAAACAGACGAUUUAAGAUGCUUUGCUCCAGGUGUGUGCUACCUCUCCUGGCUCUUUACAUGUUGCUGGAGGAGAUAUCUGCAGCUGUAUUGCCCAGCAUCAGGAACAAAAGGGAAGUUAACUGGUUGGACCAAGAGCUCUUCCCCCGACUGCUUGAACUCUCUGUGGGGGACGCCGAGGAGGUGAGCAGGGAUGGGGACGGUCGCCCCUCUCAUUCAGAGACCUUUCUCGCCCCAACAGAGCAACUUUCUUUCCAACGCCAGAGCCAGUAUCAGUACCAGCGUAAAGCCAAUGAAAAGAGGAGGAAGGUUGCUCCUCUGGACUCCAUUGGUGGAUUUCAAAUGUCCAGUUUCUGAAACAGAAAGGACGAACCUGACACCCACUGGGAAGAAUUCAGGGAAUAAACAGCAACUACAACAAUUGAGCUCAGUGCCAAUCCAAUACAUGACCUUCUGAUAUAUUCCAUAUUUAUUCAUUAUUUAACUCACUGCCAUACUAACAAGUGAGAUGCCUGUUGACCCACUCCCUCUAGUGGUGGAGGACAGAAACAAGACAAACACAGCUGUGUGCAAACACCUAAUAAAAUGUGAUGAAGUAACUUGUUGUAAGUGUCUCUCUUUAAUGUGCAAUACAAAU
rnacentral:lncRNA from 15 species